GAUGAAGAACGUAGCGAAAUGCGAUAAGUAAUGUGAAUUGCAGAAUUCAGUGAAUCAUCGAAUCUUUGAACGCACCUUGCGCCCUUUGGACUUCUGAAGGGCAUGCCUGUUUGAGUAUCAUGAACACCUCAACUCCUUAUGGUCUUCCAUGAUGAGCUUGGACUUUGGGGGUUUUGCUGGCCUACAGUCAGCUCCUCUAAAAUAAAUCAGCUUACCGGUGUUUGGUGGGUAUCAUGGGUGUGAUAACUAUCUACGCUCGUGGUUUUCCACCAGGUAACCUUCAGCAGUGGAGGUUCACUGGAGCUCAUAGAUGUCCCUCCUCAGCGAGGACAGCCCUUUGAAUGUUUGAUCUCAAAUCAGGUAGGACUACCCGCUGAACUUAAGCAUAUCAAUAAGCGGAGGA
rnacentral:misc_RNA from 1 species